UAUUGCACUUCAGCAAUGGUGA
rnacentral:miRNA from 2 species